rnacentral:rRNA from 1 species
GAUGAACGCUGGCGGCGUGCUUAACACAUGCAAGUCGAACGAAGCACUUUAUUUGAUUUCCUUCGGGACUGAUUAUUUUGUGACUGAGUGGCGGACGGGUGAGUAACGCGUGGGUAACCUGCCUUUUACAGGGGGAUAACAGUUGGAAACGGCUGCUAAUACCGCAUAAGCGCACAGCAUCGCAUGAUGCAGUGUGAAAAACUCCGGUGGUAUAAGAUGGACCCGCGUUGGAUUAGCUAGUUGGUGAGGUAACGGCCCACCAAGGCGACGAUCCAUAGCCGACCUGAGAGUGUGACCGGCCACAUUGGGACUGAGACACGGCCCAAACUCCUACGGGAGGCAGCAGUGGGGAAUAUUGAACAAUGGGCGAAAGCCUGAUGCAGCGACGCCGCGUGAGCGAAGAAGUAUUUCGGUAUGUAAAGCUCUAUCAGCAGGGAAGAUAAUGACGGUACCUGACUAAGAAGCACCGGCUAAAUACGUG